GCUUAAGUUUGAACAGUCAUCUGUAGAGGGCUGCUGCUUUCUGGGGAAGGUGCUGAGGUUCUGCAGCAGGUCUGCAGGUGCCUUGUGCCCUGGUGCCUGGCUCUGCACGUUAGGCACAAACUUUGUUGCAUAAACCAUCAGGGUUUCAUUGAUUUCCUCCCUAAUCUCCCACCUGCACAUCUCCAGCAGAUUUUGUUCUUUAACCCAGAGCUUCCGUUGCAAUUUCAGGCUUCUCUUAUGGAUGGUCAAAUGUGUUGUGUAGUUUCAUUUUGUUUGCAAAGAUGUGACGUGUGAGAAGUUUGAGGGCUUAUUGACACUCCUGCAGUUAGAAGAACUUCACUGUAAGAAGGUGUUGAGUCCCAAAUCCACAUCCAGAACUGCAGAUAUUUUGAUUCACUGAUUUGUGUGUACUGAUGGGUGGGGGAGGAUGAAGAAAUCCCUUCACCUCCUGAAGGGAUUUUUGAUGCUGAAGAAUGUAAAGAAAUCAAUGCUCCAGGCUCUUCCAGCUCCUGGUGUCUGAGAAGUUGCAUGACUUUGCAUUUGUUGAAUAGCUGUAGUUACAGCUCAAAAGCCCUGCUUUCCUAUGCAAUCUCUGUUCUGUUCCUCCUUCCCUGUACCACACAGGGAGGUUCAGUGUGGGCUUUUGGUUAUGCCUGCGUGAAACAGAUCUUAAAGCCUGAAGCAGGGCAGCAAAAGAGUUAAGCAGGAGGGGAAAGGAACAGUCCCAGUAGCUUUGAAUUGUUCAUCUAAUAGGGUCUAGGUUUAAGUCUCCCAGAACGAAGCAAAGCAGCUCUUUCUGAUUUUUUUUUUUUCAGCCCCUUCUCCAUCCAGUUAUGAAAAAAGUAAAUCACCACUCCUGGGCUGAGGUAUAAAAUAAACAAGACUUUGUUCUGAAGAGUUUAUAUGUCUAUACCUGGCAAGGGGAGGAACAGGAUGGAAGGAAGCUGCUUUCACACAGACAUCAUCUGAUGGUUUUCCCUGUUUGAAGAGACUUUGAAAGUAUCUUCUGAUCAAAUAACGUGACAGCCUUAUUUUUAUGGCCAUAAUAAAGAUGGACCCUGUUUGUGGCUGACCUGGCCUGAGUAUUGUGCAAUAAAACAC
ensembl:lncRNA